CAGUUCAAUGUUUGUGGAGCAGCUGAGAGAAGACGUUAUUGAUGAAGGUAUAGAGGCACAACCAUCGACGACCCCGGAUACACAUCUCGCGCUCUGCGAAGCAGCUCUGUCGAUAUGAACCUGGUAUGUUAUAUGGUGGAGUGAGCAGCCCGCGGCCUGUGACGUCAGAAGGGACUCGCUCCGGCAACACACUAUUCCGCGCCACAUGGAACAAAGGACUUCGUAUUACAAAUUAAAAUAAAGCAAAUUAUAGAGAAUUGUCUCCAGCGUCGCACCGACCCCUCGCGCCCUAGCCCCCUCGUCCCGACAUCAGCGAGUGUUAAGUGUUGUGUAAGAAACUAACACAGGCCUUAAUUAUAACUUGCUGUUAAUUAAUACGUGAGUUUCAAUUAAAUUUAACUUUAUAUUUUUGUCAAAUAAUAAUUU